rnacentral:misc_RNA from 1 species
GGAAAGAGAAACUGGUGUUGCUGAUGUUACUAAAAUAAAAUUUUAGAAAUAUUGAAACAAGAUGUAUACGUAUUGCUUUUAAAGCCACCAUACAUAUGUAUUAUUUAAAUUAGCAAUAUGUAUUAAUCAGUUGGAUGAGUUUUGAAUAAUUUAUAAUAAAUUUUAAUUAAAUUUAAGAAAUAUUAAAAAUAAUAAUUAAAUUUAGAUAUAGUAAUUUUUAUGGAUAUUCUACUAUUGUUUUCGAUGACAUUAAUAAUUGCUUUGCAUGCUAUAUUAUCACAUCAAUAAUUACACAUGUUUUAAAUUUAUUGAAUACAGACUUACUAUAGGAAAAUACAAGUCUCAGAUAUGGAUAUAGUGACGAAUUGAAAUUCUGUCGUAAAAAUAUUGAUUAACGACGGAUUUGUUGUUAUAUAGUAAUCAUAGUUUCAGUGACGACUAAAAUCCGUCGUUAAAAGUUAAUUUUUUAAUUAAUUAUAAAUUAGCAAUGGAUUACAUUCGCUGUUAAAAAUUUCGUCGCUAAUGAAUUUUAGCAAUGUGUCGGUGAUAAAUCCGUCGCUGAUUAUUUAUUAACCUAGUAGUAACAGAAUUAGUGACGAAUUUGUCAAUCCGUCGCUAAUACCAUAAUUUUUUUCAUAGUGA